rnacentral:rRNA from 1 species
GAUGAACGCUGGCGGCGUGCCUAAUACAUGCAAGUCGAGCGAACGGACGAGAAGCUUGCUUCUCUGAUGUUAGCGGCGGACGGGUGAGUAACACGUGGAUAACCUACCUAUAAGACUGGGAUAACUUCGGGAAACCGUAGCUAAUACCGGAUAAUAUUUUGAACCGCAUGGUUCAAAAGUGAAAGACGGUCUUGCUGUCACUUAUAGAUGGAUCCGCGCUGCAUUAGCUAGUUGGUAAGGUAACGGCUUACAAAGGCAACGAUGCAUAGCCGACCUGAGAGGGUGAUCGGCCACACUGGAACUGAGACACGGUCCAGACUCCUACGGGAGGCAGCAGUAGGGAAUCUUCCGCAAUGGGCGAAAGCCUGACGGAGCAACGCCGCGUGAGUGAUGAAGGUCUUCGGAUCGUAAAACUCUGUUAUUAGGGAAGAACAUAUGUGUAAGUAACUGUGCACAUCUUGACGGUACCUAAUCAGAAAGCCACGGCUAACUACGUG